CUGCCUAGCUCUCUCUCUCUCUCUCUCUUUUUUUUUUUUUUUUUUCUUACGGCCCCUUUUGAGUUUUGACAAUCAGGCAACAGCAAAUUCAUUUUCUUAUUUACAUUUUGCCUUUCUAGCUUCUACCAUUCGUCCACCCAAGCUAGAUAGAUUAUUCAUAAAUAUAUGCAGUAUAUCCCUAUAUUAUUUUUAUACGCUCCUUCCUAUCAUUUUUAUUUGUUUCUAUCUGCGUUAUUUCAUAAAGAGUACAUUUGAGCAAGUACUAUUAAUAUCCUGAUUUCACUUCUAAUCCAUGGAUUUAUAUCUAGAAGCAAUUAUAAGUUUAACAAAGAGUAGUAUAAUAUGUUUGCGUACACGUGUACAUAUAAACCAGUUAUGGAACAAUGCUUUAAUAAUAUUAUAGACUAUAGUAAAAUGUUAUGAUUUAAUAACUUUUCUAACAGAUUUACUUAAUUUUUUUAGAACGAAAAAAUUGAAAAAUGAUUAUUUUGAGAGAAUAUGAUAUUUGAUUGAUUAUAUUUAAUGGAUUUUAGUAUGCAUAUUUAGGGAUGUGAAAAUGUUUCUAAAUCCUCGUGAAUUUAAUUCAAAAAAAUAAAUAAAUGUUGGCAACAAUGAUAGACGACAUAAUUCAUCAUAAUUCUACUAUUGAGCGUUUUCACGUGACGUCACUAUUUUGGCAGUGCCUGAGAAUAUAAGAGUCUCCACCAAUGUUCUGGACAUUCUACAGCUGAAACGUCUGUUAAUUCAGUAAACAUAUCUAUUAAACCCUAGUUUAAAGGAAUAUAAGUCAUUGCUUACUAAUAAGAAUAUUUUUUUUAUGUAAAAAUGCCUGUUUUUUUUGCAUGCCGAAAUAAGCAUUUUCCUGGCAAGGAUAUAUCGUUUUUUUGUUUUCCAAAAGAUUUACACCAAAAUAAGCCUUAGUUAUGACUUAUGAGUUAUGUAUUAUGACCAUAGAGAUAAAAAUUAUAGAGUGCUUACUUGAUGAAAAAAUUGAGGGAACAGACAGCUGAUAAAUACAAACAAGAUAAGGAUCAAAACAUUCAAAUAUUAUAUAUUUAAUAGUAGUUUCGUCUUACUUAAUAACGUUAUUUUAGGGGCCUAAUGGAUAAUGAGGGUACUCACCUUACUUCAAAUUAUUCUCUUAUCAAAAUGGCAAGUAUAAAUACAAAAUAUAAGAAGUACCAUGACUCAUCUCUAAAAGGAAUAUCUACGAUUGGUAUUUAAAUUCGCCUUGAAUCGCAUGAAGCCUAUAACAACACAAUGAAGAACAUUUUCAUAAUUGAUAAUUCUUAUAAAUUCCUUAUAUUCUCGUUUGUUCUAGUAUAUACUAAUUUUGAUUAAAAAAAAUGCUUUGGCAUAUUUAGGAUAAAUAAACAUCUAAUCAAUGAAGUAUAAUUUAUUCUAAAAAAUAUUAUAUACUAAUAAAAUUAAGCCCGUCAAUA
rnacentral:lncRNA from 1 species